CACCUCUCCAUCCUUUGUCCCCCACCACUGCAUCCCCUGCCCCACUUGGUGUGCUAGAAACCUGGGUUCAUGGCAGGUGCAGAGGCAGCCAGGUCAGAUGCUGCUCCCCCUGCAUCUGCCCUGGCACAGAGCAAGGCCUGAGCUUCAUCCACCCAUGGCUGGGCCCUAUCACAGAAAUGUCUCAGUGCUAGCAUGGUCUCUGGCUGUUUUGUUUUUUGCAGGCAACCAGAGCACUGUGGGAGAUCAUUCACCUGCCCCAGUGCCCAGAGAUAUUGAUUAUGUAUUUCCCACGCCUCUUUGUGGCUCUGCUCUUCCAAGUUUUCUCCAGCACAGACCAGCUGCCAGUGGAGGUCAAAGCCUUCUGGAGGCGAUGCCAGCACAAGCACUGCCUGCCCAGCAACCCCACCAGAUUUGCAUUGGUGACCCUGAAAGCGCUGCUCUGUCACCUUGAUUAUGAGGAUGUGGUGUCUGGAGUUGAACGUGAGUGUGGUUGGGACACACUCCUCAACCCUGACACCCACCACAAUACAAUGGGUCUUCUGGCCAGGUGAGAGCCCCACUCUCCCUGCUCCAGCUGUUACUUCUUCACAGUAUGUACAUAAUCCCUGUGGUCAUGAGUGAGGGGGACUUUGUCACGGAUGGAUGGUGCGGCAGAGUGACAAAGCCUUGAAGGGCUUGGGUGCAUUGGAGCACCCACAACCCAAAAUGCCAGUGUGUCUGCACUGAUGGCACAAAGCAGGAGUUCUGUCUGCAGGCAGCCUCACUAAGGACAGCCUGCUGGGUACAGGGAAUUUGCAUCAUGGGCUACUCAGCCUGGGCGACAAGACUGGCCCGUGGGCAGAAUGGGUGGGUUUUCAGCCUCUUCAUUCCUGAAAUGAGCCUGCUGAUGUUCACCUUCCUCCUUGCAAGAGGCAGUGGUGAAAUAUGAGACCUCUGUGAGUCAGUUGCAGGAGAGGUCUGCCUGCCCUGCUCAUAGUUGAAGAUGUCUUUUUCCCCUGCCAGAACAAUGCUCAGGAUCUCACAGUCCUCUUGUUACCGGAUUGCACGCUACCUGUUCAGG
rnacentral:lncRNA from 1 species